GAACCGUGCGAACGUUGUUCGGAAUCACUGGGCUUAAAGGGCGCGUAGGCGGGGGGCUGUCAAGUCUGGGGGGGUGAAAUCUUCCGGGCUCAACCGGAAAAGUGCCUCGGAUACUGGCGGUCUAGAGCGAGGUAGGGGCAUGUGGAACUUCCGGUGGAGCGGUGAAAUGCGUUGAUAUCGGAAGGAACGCCGGUGGCGAAAGCGACAUGCUGGAUCUCUUCUGACGCUGAGGCGCGAAAGCUAGGGGAGCGAACGGGAUUAGAUACCCCGGUAGUCCUAGCCUUAAACGAUGGGUACUAGGUUGCGGGCUUGACAUGAGUUCGCAGCCGAAGCAAAAGUACUAAGUACCCCGCCUGGGGAGUAUGGUCGCAAAGGCUG
rnacentral:rRNA from 1 species